UUCAGUAACAAGGAAGUGGUGUGGUUAUGCUGAUUAAGUGUGGCUACAGCUAAGUACUCCUGAGAACUUAUCAAUUUCCAUUCAGCUGUUUCUUAUUAAUAGAAUGAUCCAACCACAGAACAUCAAACCCUCACGUUACAGUGUGGAUACUACUCAAAUGCUGUUACCAGGUUACAGGGAUGACAUACUGACAGUUGAGUAGUGAUACAUGGGUCCAAUUGUCAUCCACCGUGGAGGGCUGAAUAGAGUGCUGAGGAGUUCCCCAUCCAGUGAUGAAGGAGAUGAAGUCAUCAAGGAGCUAACAAAAGACGGGGAUCAGGACAAAAUCCCAUCCCAUGCUCCCAGAUGUGGACCAAACCAAGGUGAAGAGCAGACCUGAUUACAGAUGACAGGCUACGUGUAUGGAGCCUAACAUCGGACUCCCACCAGAUCUGUGUCCAUCUCCGUUCUGCUGUGGUCCAGCUCCCAGCUCUCUCGUCCAUCAACACCCACCGGCUGCGUUUCCAGAAUGGACGAAGAGCAGGACCGCCGGACAGCUUGGGACAUGUGACCAAGGUUUUCCAGUGGUUAUUACUGAAUCCAUGAUUAUCCGACUACUAUCCUCAUCCACAUUGUCUUUAUUGGCCUCUUAAAAACCUCUGACCUGUUAACUCCAGACCUGGCUCUGCUCAUUAUGAUGGUUUGUUGUUGUAGUUAAAUGAAAUGCAAUCUAGCGAUAAUACAGUUUUUUAUUCCGAAAAUAA